CACAGUGAGACCUCCUCUCUAUUAUUAACAUAAUAAUAAUAAUAAAGAAAUUGAAAAAAAGAAAGCACCACUGCAAAUAUUCCAGUUGAUUCGCCCUGCCCUCAAAAGACAUGUGUCACACCAAGCAACUAACACCCAUGUUGUAACUGCCCCAGAGGAAAGACGUUCAACGGCUGAGGAGACCACAGCGGCAACUAGGUCACUUCCUAUUCGAAGAAAAAGGAGGAGAUGCCAUCUGGCAAAUUCGAGGUAGGGAGACAAAUCAAUCGAUGACGUUGCGAGGAGACAGAGGUCAAACGGGAUCUACUGACAUGACAGGGCGUUGAAGGGAAGGAAAAGUUGAGGGAAACGAGGAAACUAUUUCCAUAGGAGAAUGCUUUUUCACUGAAGUCGAAACUGGCUUGGUACUGACGCCCAGCAGGGGAAACUCCCCGGACACUCACAGACAUUCAUCUGGUUACUUGCAGGAACAUCUGCCUUUCCUGGUGACACCCUCUGCCCUGCAGUCUUCAUUUUCCCUGGAUAGCCCAGCGUCAUUUAAAUACUCAGAAGCCUCUCUGCCUUUCUAUGCUGUUGUCUGCAAAGAGAUGAACGGACCUGUGCAGACGGCUGGCCAGUGACGCCGGGAUCUCUAGGUCCUUCCAAAGUGCCUACGGAAAGCUUUGUCCCAUCCUUGAAAAAUUGCUAAUGGGUUUGGAGAUACGAGGUGGAGAUGACUAGCAAUCAAACUCAAAGGUGGAAGUCACAUCGAGGCAGAUGAGCAGAUGAGGGGACCUAGAGAAGAAGAGAGGUGCAAGGAGAGCCCAGCCAGCAGGAACAUCUGCCCCAGUAGGCAGCACUGCCCCACAUCAGAGUCGAGGAAAGCAAAGCUCGGAUUGGAUAAAAGAAACUUGCAAACACGGUCAGUGCUUACUGCAUGUGGGCUCAGAGCACGUUACCCUCCUUCCCUGCAUGUUCCUGUGAAACGGGUUUACUGCUCUAACUCUCAGGGACACUGUGAAGACCAAACGAGAAAAUAGAAACAAACAUAAUUUAUAAACCAUAAAGUACUGACACCAAAAGAGGGGCGAGCACAGCAUUGUGAAUGUGCUGGUACUAAAUGGUUUGUUUUAAGAUGAUUUUAUGGUGUGUGAAUUUCACUUGAAUAAAUUUUUUUAAUGGAGUUCA
rnacentral:lncRNA from 1 species